rnacentral:rRNA from 1 species
UGGGGAAUAUUGCGCAAUGGGGGGAACCCUGACGCAGCCAUGCCGCGUGAAUGAAGAAGGCCUUAGGGUUGUAAAGUUCUUUCGGUAUUGAGGAAGGUUGAUGUGUUAAUAGCACAUCAAAUUGACGUUAAAUACAGAAGAAGCACCAGCUAACUCCGUGCCAGCAGCCGCGGUAAUACGGAGGGUGCGAGCGUUAAUCGGAAUAACUGGGCGUAAAGGGCACGCAGGCGGUUAUUUAAGUGAGGUGUGAAAGCCCCGGGCUUAACCUGGGAAUUGCAUUUCAGACUGGGUAACUAGAGUACUUUAGGGAGGGGUAGAAUUCCACGUGUAGCGGUGAAAUGCGUAGAGAUGUGGAGGAAUACCGAAGGCGAAGGCAGCCCCUUGGGAAUGUACUGACGCUCAUGUGCGAAAGCGUGGGGAGCAAACAGGAUUAGAUACCCUGGUAGUCCACGCUGUAAACGCUGUCGAUUUGGGGGUUGGGGUUUAACUCUGGCGCCCGUAGCUAACGUGAUAAAUCGACCGCCUGGGGAGUACGGCCGCAAGGUUA